AAUGAACGCUGGCGGUAUGCCUAACACAUGCAAGUCGAACGGCAGCACAGUAAGAGCUUGCCCUUACGGGUGGCGAGUGGCGGACGGGUGAGGAAUACAUAGGCAUCUACUUUUUCGUGGGGGAUAACGUAGGGAAACUUACGCUAAUACCGCAUACGACCUACGGGUGAAAGCAAGGGAUCUUCGGACCUUGCGCGAUUCAAUGAGCCGAUGUCGGAUUAGCUAGUUGGCGGGGUAAAGGCCCACCAAGGCGACGAUCCGUAGCUGGUCUGAGAGGAUGAUCAGCCACACUGGAACUGAGACACGGUCCAGACUCCUACGGGAGGCAGCAGUGGGGAAUAUUGGACAAUGGGCGCAAGCCUGAUCCAGCCAUACCGCGUGGGUGAAGAAGGCCUUCGGGUUGUAAAGCCCUUUUGUUGGGAAAGAAAAGCAGCAGGUUAAUACCCCGCUGUUCUGACGGUACCCAAAGAAUAAGCACCGGCUAACUUCGUG
rnacentral:rRNA from 1 species